GAGCUCUGAUUUGCUUAUUGCACCACAUGUGUUUUUCUUUGAAACAAACUUGCUUUGGCGGUGGGCCCAGCCUGCCGCCAGAGGUCUAAACUUACAACCAAUUUUUUAUUAACUUGUCACACCAGAUUAUUACUUAAUAGUCAAAACUUUCAACAACGGAUCUCUUGGUUCUCGCAUCGAUGAAGAACGCAGCGAAAUGCGAUACGUAAUAUGAAUUGCAGAUAUUCGUGAAUCAUCGAAUCUUUGAACGCACAUUGCGCCCUCUGGUAUUCCGGAGGGCAUGCCUGUUUGAGCGUCGUUUCUCCCUCAAACCGCUGGGUUUGGUGUUGAGCAAUACGACUUGGGUUUGCUUGAAAGACGGUAGUGGUAAGGCGGGAUCGCUUUGACAAUGGCUUAGGUCUAACCAAAAACAUUGCUUGCGGCGGUAACGUCCACCACGUAUAUCUUCAAACUUUGACCUCAAAUCAGGUAGGACUACCCGCUGAACUUAAGCAUAUCAAAAGGCGGGAG
rnacentral:rRNA from 1 species